UUGGUUCUGAGGUGUGUAAUACUGUACAGAAACAGCAGAACGAGAAACAAAGAUUUGAGUUUCUUCGAUAAACAGAUUAGGGUUUCUUUGAUCGAAGAGAGCGAAAAUGCCUGCAGGAUCGGCAGCAUCAGGAUCAGGUCUAUUCAAAUUCCUUCGACCUGGGGUUCGUCCUCAAUCCACUGACAUUCAAGCCGCCGCCAUGUGGGGAGUCGCCGCCGCUACGGGAGCGAUUUAUCUGGUCCAGCCAUUCAAUUGGAUCAGAAAGACAUUUUUUGAGGAGACUGAAGAGCAGCAGUGAUUAGAGAUUCGGAAUCCGAAGACAAUGUUUUGCAAUUGCCGGCCAUGUUUCUGAUGAGAACAGUAGAAAGCCACUCUAUUUGAAUAAUGCAUCUUGACUUUCGUUGCUUUUUAUUUUUAUCUGGAGCUCUGGAGGGAUGAUACUGAAGAAGUCUGAAUUAAUUUACUAUUCUCAUUUCUCCA